AGGUAUUCACUAGACAUGAGCUCCCAUCAGUAUGUAGCAGAAGAAAAAGGAAAGCUUUUCUUUCUAACAGAAAACCACAGCCUGCUUAGAAGCAAUCCCCAUAAUCGACCGUGGCAAAAGCUGUGAAGUAUCUAGAAGAUACUCUGCCCUGGAGAAAGAAGCACACGGUUUUCUCAACCGGGCUCUGUCCUGUGGAGCCAUCAGAGAAACACUCGGGAGGACAGCAAACAAGAUGCCAGCUCCCAGCCUCAGAUGACCCCAAGAGAAGAAUGAUGGGCCAGAAUGAGCACACCCUAGUUGAACAGAGAUUAAGUGUUAUGGUUUUGGUUCAAAGAGUCAAUUCCGGCUCCUGGAUUCAGAGAACUAAAACAGGAUGUGACUGAAACUGAGGCAGCGUACUUCCCCACCCCCAUACCAGGCCAACGGGCACACUCAUCGUGCUGCAAGAGAUAACAAUCAGACUUUGGGUUUGUGGGAGAACAAACCCUGCCACGUCUGCUCCCAGCUGAGAUACAGCUUAGUGAAUGUGGAGACUCGCCUCCAGGCUGCCUUUGGCCUCGAAAAGUAUGGAAGGAAAAUCCUCCUCUGUGACGGCGGUGAAUACAUGACUUUGACUUUAUUCCCCAUUUGUCACACUUCAGCCAUUUCUGUGCACAGCCAAGUGUGCAGGCUGCCCUUCUCCGAGGCUUACGGCACAGGGGGAAGUAACCUGGGUAGGUAGCUCGAAGGUCGUGAACACCCAGAACUGAGCUGUACCAAGACAUGGAAGGAGUUGGCAAGGUAUGAUAUGGCUGCUGCCUGGAUGAAACGAAAAGUUCCACAGCAAGGAGAAUGAAAGGAAAGUGGGUUUUGAGCCCUAUCUAGCGGCCUGAUUUGUUUACGAUGUAAUUACGUUAAAGAUGAAAUCACACUGGAUUAGGAUGGGCUCUACAUCCAAUGACCGGUAUUCUUAUAAGAAGGCCAUGUAAAGAUGCAGAGACACACAGGAAAGAAAGCCAUGUGAUGAAAGACAGAGAGAUUGGAGGGACGCAACCACAAGCCAAGGACUGCCAAGGACCGCCAGCAGCUACUGGAAGAAAGGGGGAGGCAUGGGACAGAUUCUUCCGUCCGAGGCGCCAGAAGGAAACAACCCCGCCCAUACUCGGAUUCUGACCGUCUGGCCUCCUGAACCGUAAAAGCAUAAAUUUCUGUUGUUUUUAAUCA